rnacentral:rRNA from 1 species
AUUGAACGCUGGCGGCAGGCCUAACACAUGCAAGUCGAACGGUAACAGGAAGCAGCUUGCUGCUUCGCUGACGAGUGGCGGACGGGUGAGUAAUGUCUGGGAAACUGCCUGAUGGAGGGGGAUAACUACUGGAAACGGUAGCUAAUACCGCAUAACGUCGCAAGACCAAAGGGGGGGACCUUAGGGCCUCUUGCCAUCGGAUGUGCCCAGAUGGAUUAGCUAGUAGGUGGGGUAACGGCUCACCUAGGCGACGAUCCCUAGCUGGUCUGAGAGGAUGACCAGCCACACUGGAACUGAGACACGGUCCAGACUCCUACGGGAGGCAGCAGUGGGGAAUAUUGCACAAUGGGCGCAAGCCUGAUGCAGCCAUGCCGCGUGUAUGAAGAAGGCCUUCGGGUUGUAAAGUACUUUCAGCGGGGAGGAAGGGAGUAAAGUUAAUACCUUUGCUCAUUGACGUUACCCGCAGAAGAAGCACCGGCUAACUCCGUG